CACAUGCAAGUCGAGCGAGACCUUCGGGUCUAGCGGCGGACGGGUGAGUAACGCGUGGGAACGUGCCCUUUUCUGCGGAAUAGCCUCGGGAAACUGAGAGUAAUACCGCAUACGCCCUUUCGGGGGGAAAGAUUUAUCGGAGAAGGAUCGGCCCGCGUUGGAUUAGGUAGUUGGUGGGGUAACGGCCUACCAAGCCGACGAUCCAUAGCUGGUUUGAGAGGAUGAUCAGCCACACUGGGACUGAGACACGGCCCAGACUCCUACGGGAGGCAGCAGUGGGGAAUCUUAGACAAUGGGGGCAACCCUGAUCUAGCCAUGCCGCGUGAGUGAUGAAGGCCUUAGGGUUGUAAAGCUCUUUCAGCUGGGAAGAUAAUGACGGUACCAGCAGAAGAAGCCCCGGCUAGCUCCGUGCCAGCAGCCGCGGUAAUACGGAGGGGGCUAGCGUUGUUCGGAAUUACUGGGCGUAAAGCGCACGUAGGCGGACCAGAAAGUUGGGGGUGAAAUCCCGGGGCUCAACCUCGGAACUGCCUUCAAAACUACUGGUCUGGAGUUCGAGAGAGGUGAGUGGAAUUCCGAGUGUAGAGGUGAAAUUCGUAGAUAUUCGGAGGAACACCAGUGGCGAAGGCGGCUCACUGGCUCGAUACUGACGCUGAGGUGCGAAAGCGUGGGGAGCAAACAGG
rnacentral:rRNA from 1 species